rnacentral:lncRNA from 1 species
GUCUGGCCAAGACACGUGGCUCAGUUAGCGUCACUCUGUUUUCUCGUUCAACACUUCUGGGGCUCGUUGGAGUGUGCAGGGGGAACCUGUCUGCCCCAGGAGCUUGACAAGGGGGUGGAAGCCCUGCGCGGGAGCCCUGGGGGAGCCAGGUCCCUGGGGCAGGCCUGGUGGUCCCUGGAGUCCCGCAGAGGUGACCAGGUCUGCAGCAGGUGUUGGGGAGACCACAGGUCCCCUCUUCCCAGGCCCGGAGGCAGCUUUUCCUCCUUGUGCAGCGAGACCCAAACAGGGCCGCUCACGGCUGCCCAAUCGUUGCAGUCAGAGCUCAGCUGACGGCACAGGAGCUGUCCCCACCCAAACCCACCUCGCCUUUCCCCAGGGCCCUUCAAGGUCCCCUCGCCCCUCGCCCCUCGCCCCAUGGCCCAGGCCGACCCCGCAGAGCUCCCUGGAGAGUAAGACACCAGCCUGCUCUGUGCCCCUGGAGAGACCCCGGCUGGGAGGGGUCCUCAGGGGCUAGAAGGCAGAUUCCCUGUGUCGGAGCCCCUGUGCAGUGCGAGGGGUGGGUCCAUCAGACUCCCAGAGGCCCCGCCCCCCGCCCAGGCCUCAGCCCUGUGGCAACAGCAGCCGAAGGCUCCCGGAAGGGCCGGGAGCUUGGGAAAGACUCAGGACCAAAGGAGGCAGGAGGUUUGGUAACUGCCCACAGCCAGGGCCCGCUUCAGGGGAGAAGUGGGGCGGACCUAAGCCGGGGCCCACGGAGGGGCUCAGGGGCUGGCUGGCUGCUGUCGUGGACGUGGGCCACAGAGGCUGACGUGGAUGCCACUCGCUCAGGCUUGGGCGGACGUGGGCUGGUGUUGACAGUGUUAGGGUCCACAGACUCCCCUUCAACCUCCAAUCGGACACUGGCUGCAGCGCCCGCUGCUGGGGGCCUGCCUGGAAUUGGGGUCACCUGCAGCCACGGGCAGUGCAGGAUGUGGGCGUCCCACUGGGGCGUCCCGCUGGCCAUGGUAAGGGGCGGGCGGGCCCCGGGGAGGUGAGAAGG